rnacentral:rRNA from 1 species
UACGGGGGGAGCAAGCGUUGUUCGGAUUUACUGGGCGUAAAGGGCGCGUAGGCGGCGUAACAAGUCACUUGUGAAAUCUCCGGGCUUAACUCGGAGCGGCCAAGUGAUACUGUUGUGCUAGAGUGCGGAAGGGGCUACUGGAAUUCUCGGUGUAGCGGUGAAAUGCGUAGAUAUCGAGAGGAACACCUGCGGCGAAGGCGGGUUGCUGGGCUGAUACUGACGCUGAGGCGCGAAAGCCAGGGGAGCGAACGGG